GAUGAACGCUGGCGGCGUGCCUAAUACAUGCAAGUCGAGCGAACGGACGAGAAGCUUGCUUCUCUGAUGUUAGCGGCGGACGGGUGAGUAACACGUGGAUAACCUACCUAUAAGACUGGGAUAACUUCGGGAAACCGGAGCUAAUACCGGAUAAUAUUUUGAACCGCAUGGUUCAAAAGUGAAAGACGGUCUUGCUGUCACUUAUAGAUGGAUCCGCGCUGCAUUAGCUAGUUGGUAAGGUAACGGCUUACCAAGGCAACGAUGCAUAGCCGACCGGAGGGGGUGAUCGGCCCCCCUGGACCUGAGACCCGGUCCAGCCUCCACGGGAGGCAGCAGUAGGGAAUCUUCCGCAAUGGGCGAAAGCCUGACGGAGCAACGCCGCGUGAGUGAUGAAGGUCUUCGGAUCGUAAAACUCUGUUAUUAGGGAAGAACAUAUGUGUAAGUAACUGUGCACAUCUUGACGGUACCUAAUCAGAAAGCCACGGCUAACUACGUG
rnacentral:rRNA from 1 species